rnacentral:ncRNA from 2 species
CUCUUAUCCAGAGCGGUAGAGGGACUGGCCCUUUGAAACCCGGCAACCUACAUGUAUUGUAAGGUGCUAACCUGUGGCAGGAAUUGAUUUCCUGAUCGAUGAGAG